rnacentral:rRNA from 1 species
UACAGAGGGGGCAAGCGUUGUUCGGAAUUACUGGGCGUAAAGGGCGCGUAGGCGGCCUGCUAAGUCGAACGUGAAAUCCCUGGGCUCAACCCAGGAACUGCGUCCGAUACUGGUUGGCUUGAAUCCGGGAGAGGGAUGUGGAAUUCCAGGUGUAGCGGUGAAAUGCGUAGAUAUCUGGAGGAACACCGGUGGCGAAGGCGACAUCCUGGACCGGUAUUGACGCUGAGAUACGAAAGCGUGGGGAGCAAACAGG